rnacentral:lncRNA from 1 species
CAUUAGGUCAAUUAGGUUUGAUUAAUUUGCAAGAUUCAAGCCCAAAUUGAAACCAAUUCAAGGAGCUAGGAUUUCCACAUGUGCUAGCAUGCUUACUGGAAGCCCUGAUUGGAUCCAAAUUUUCAAUCAACCAUAUUAAAUGGAUCCUUGGCUAAUUUCUUAAUAUGUGUGACCCUUUGGGUUCCUAUCUAGCCGACAGUAGAUCUGGGUGCUAGUUAACCUAAUUCGAUUGAUCACUUAUAAUCGAUUAAGGUUCAAACUAUGCCAACCUAUGUUGUCAAAUUAGAAUCCUUUCUAAUGGACUCAUGAAUUAAUCAUUUUAGUUCAUGAAAACCUUCAAGAAAAUAUUGACAUCUAGCCACA